UGAGAGUCUAACUGUCUCUUUUAGUCAAUCAAUUAAACUGAUCUCCUAGUAAAAAAGCUAGGAUAUUUACAUAAGACCAGAAGACCCUGCGAAGCUUAAACCAAACUAUUAAAUCACAUAAUAACUACUUUCGGUUGGGGCGACCUUGGAAAAAAAAAGAACUUCCAAACACAAUGAUUUUAAUCAUAUACUAAGGCCCACAAGCCAUAAACCUAUGACCCAGCUAAAGCUGAUAAUUGAACCAAGUUACUCCAGGGAUAACAGCGCUAUCUUCUUCAAGAGCCCAUAUCAAAAAGAAGGUUUACGACCUCGAUGUUGGAUCA
rnacentral:rRNA from 1 species